GACUCAAUAGACUAAUCAAACUUUCAUCUAUAAUUUCUGAAGACCCAUCUGUGCUACAAGAGUCAUGGCACAGUUUGUGAGCAAUUUUGCUGAACCAGGAGAUCCUGAGUAUGCUCCUCCAGUCCAAAAGGGUGAAACUCCGGCCAAGCUGGUUUUUUGUCCCAAGGCGACCUGGCAAAUUCAAGAAUGGAGAUUCUAGUGCAGAGGAGUUGGCCUCAGCUACCCAGGUCCAGGGUCCAUACAUGCCCAUCA